rnacentral:rRNA from 1 species
CCUACGGGGGGCUGCAGUGGGGGAUAUUGCACAAUGGGGGAAACCCUGAUGCAGCGACGCCGCGUGUGGGAAGACGGUCUUCUGGAUUGUAAACCACUGUCCCCAGGGACGAAAAUGACGGUACCUGGGGAGGAAGCUCCGGCUAACUACGUGCCAGCAGCCGCGGUAAUACGUAGGGAGCAAGCGUUGUCCGGAAUUACUGGGUGUAAAGGGAGCGUAGGCGGGGAUGCAAGUUGGGUGUCAAAACUACCGGCUCAACCGAUAGUCGCACUCAAAACUGCAGCUCUUGAGUGAAGUCGAGGCAGGCGGAAUUCCUAGUGUAGCGGUGAAAUGCGUAGAUAUUAGGAGGAACACCAGUGGCGAAGGCGGCCUGCUGGGCUUUUACUGACGCUGAGGCUCGAAAGUGUGGGGAGCAAACAGGAUUAGAUACCCUUGUAGUC